CUUGUUUUUUCAAUCCUAAAGGUGGAGCAAGGAUCAAGCAGAUACCUUCUGUUAUCAAAGAUUUUGACUGUUACUGUGAGAUUUAUACAAAGGGAUUCAGAGGAGAAAAAAACAUCUUUUAACCCAAGACCAUAUUUCCGACUGAUUGUGAACUGGCUAUUGGACCUUGUCUCCCCAGAUCCUGUUAUUGAUGGUGCAAACUUUCAGAUCUUGACAUCUUUUGCUGGCGCAUUCCAUAAUUUGCAGCCCCUUAAAGUUCCUGCCUUCAGCUUU
rnacentral:misc_RNA from 1 species